AUCUGGUCACCCUGGCCAAGAAGACGCCCUCCGGCGUCGCCUGCUGCUACGGCUGCGGCACCCCGCUGCACACCGACGAGGAGGGGUCCCCCGGCCACGUCGAGCCGGCCACCUAUGACCUGGUAAGGAGGCACAUCCACGGGCUCCACCUGUGCCUCCCACAGCAGCAACUCCUAGCCGAGGUUUUGAGAUCUUUGCUUUCCCAUGCAACCAGUUUGGUGGGCAGGAACUUGGCAUUGAUAAGGAAAAUGUUCAGAUUUCUUGCAUGCCGAGUAUCUGAUUUCUGACAAGGUUUUUUGGUUUCGUCACUCCUUUGUUAUAUGGAAGAAGACUUCAUGGUAGAAGAUAGCGACGGAGUGCUGCCGGAUAAUGAGAUGUUGAAGCGGCAGAUUGAAUCCAUGACACCGAAGUGUAAUUGCGGCAGAUUAUCUCUAUCUUUUCUUUUCAUUUUUGAGUGAGAACAGAAUGAGGAACUGUGUGAUAGUACAUACAACAACUGUAGUAAAAAGAAACUUAUGUUUGCAAUUGUUAAUGACAUAGAUACUUGCAUGUUCUUUGAAGUGGUCAUUUGUGAGUUGCAAUGCAUAAUGAGGUUUUUUGGCUGA